rnacentral:rRNA from 1 species
CUAGGGGCGACAAAGGGCCCCAACCUCUUGGUGCCCGGCUCAACCGGGUUCCUCUAGGUAACGCAGUAAACCUGGCGUGGUGAGCUCCGAUUGGGACGGGCUAGGUGCAGGAAAGGAGCCCCUCCUUUCGGUGCUGGGCUCUCCAGCCCCUCCUUUAGGUACCGAGCUGUCUCCGCUCGCUUGAGGUCGCAGUAACUCGUUCUAGGUCCCGGGGGCUGGCGGAGGCUCGAGGAGGCGGCCGCUGUCUUCACUGAGAGGGCUGGGAGAGGGAGGCCACAAUUCCUAGGUUGAGGCGGGGAGGUCGCUGCCGCUGCCUGGUGCCAGCAGUGGCAAGAGGAAGGGGCCUAGGUUGGAGGCGGAGCUUCGAGGUCAGGGGAAGCCGCUGCCGCUACCGCUGCCGCAGUCAAGGCGCCUGCAUAAGAUAGAGUAGACUAGUUCCCGAAAGUUGAGUGAUAUCGUAGAACUGCAACAACAGAAAUAGCCAGUAACUCUUCUUUUUCUUUCAAGUUAGUUGUACUUCGACAACCAUGGACUACAACUACGCCUCCUCUCUUUUCUGGACUCAUCCCGAUCACUAGACGCGGAACGUCAAGUAGAACAAGCUUUCAUAGAGACGGAGCCUGUACCGUUAACUAUUAAGUUAUGUAAAACAGCACGUGUUUGAACUUGCUACUACCGUGUACUUUUAUCAAAUCCGGUUGUGUGCUAGCGUUACUUUAUACCGGGCCGACUAUAAACUUGGAACCACUUAACUACCAAUAGUCAACAUUAUAAAGAAUUUUAAGGUCAAAUAUCCUUAAAACUUUAAAACAUAAAAAAAACUUAAUAAACACCUAGUCUCGGGAACCUAGAAUUAACGAUGUUAUGUAAUAGUC